ACCGUCUAAGGUCGAUCGGACGGUGUCUGUGCACAGUGACCCAAACCGAAGCAAACCCACCCCACGAACGAGCCCCGCCGCCGCCGCCGCUCGCCGGAAGUGCGCCGCCUUCCGGCCGCUGCGGCCGGAGGGGAUAGUGACCCAAAGAGAUGUUGCGCUCUUAGCUCCGAUCCAGCCUCGCCUUAACGCUGGGAGCAAUGUCAGAGGUCUGGAGGCGAGGUUUUGGACCAUAAGUUUGAUGAGGCUCAGGGAUUGUGUUUGUGGACCUGUUAUGUUUCUGCAUAUGUAUGCCUGAAAUGACGCUAAAUGCCAAGAUUGGAGUUGCUGUUAGUUUGUGCACACAUGCUGCUGCGAGUUGGCUAUUGAAGAACUGAAGAUGCAUUUGGUAUAUAGAACUAUUUCUAAAUCUUCAGUGCUAAUAAGAUUUUGUUCAAAACAAAACCAACGAA